rnacentral:tRNA from 1 species
GUGGGUAUAGCUCAGUGGCAGAGCGCAUGCUUAGCAUGCAUAAGGUCCUGGGUUCAAUCCCCAGUACCUCUG